CGAACGCUGGCGGCGUGCCUAAUACAUGCAAGUCGAACGCUGCUUAAGAAGAAACUUCGGUUUUUUCUUAAGCGGAGUGGCGGACGGGUGAGUAACACGUGGGGAACCUAUCCAUCAGCGGGGGAUAACACUUGGAAACAGGUGCUAAUACCGCAUACGGCUUUUUUUCACCUGAAAGAAAGCUCAAAGGCGCUUUACAGCGUCACUGAUGGCUGGUCCCGCGGUGCAUUAGCCAGUUGGUGAGGUAACGGCUCACCAAAGCAACGAUGCAUAGCCGACCUGAGAGGGUGAUCGGCCACACUGGGACUGAGACACGGCCC
rnacentral:rRNA from 1 species